ACCAAAGUGGUCGAUUGCGUGGUC
rnacentral:siRNA from 1 species